rnacentral:ribozyme from 1 species
UGUAAUAAAUAUUCUGUAAAAGGGUUGGAUCCGACGCCUUUUGAAGGCUACUAUAGGCUCUCCUUCUCAACUCCUACUCAAUACGUCCACGUCGUGCAGAACGGUAACUUGUCGCCUAGAUCCAAGCUUGGGUACACGUAGAAACCCAACCCCUUGGGCGGAUGGGCGGCAAGGCUGAAUUGAGAGGU